rnacentral:rRNA from 1 species
UACCCAAAGUUCCCAUGGCAAACUGCUCAGUAACACAUGAUCAACUUACCCUAUAGAGAAAAAUAACCUCGGGAAACUGAGGAUAAUGUUUCAUAGUUGAAUUGGCUUAGAAAAGUUUUUCGACGAAAGGGGUAAAAAGAAUGGUUUUUAUCUGCUAUAGGAUAGGAUCGUGUUCGAUUAUGGUUGUUGGUGAGGUAAUGGCUCACCAAGCCGAUAAUCGAUAGGGGCCGUGAGAGCGGGAGCCCCGAGAUGGGUACUGAGACAACGACCCAGGCCUUACGAGGCGCAGCAGGCGCGAAACCUCCGCAAUACACGAAAGUGUGACGGGGUUACCCAAAGUGUUCAAUUUUGAACUGUGGUAGGUGAGUAAUGUUCCCUACUAGAAAGGAGAGGGCAAGGCUGGUGCCAGCCGCCGCGGUAAAACCAGCUCUUCAAGUGGUCGGGAUAAUUAUUGGGCUUAAAGUGUCCGUAGCCGGUUUAGUAAGUUCCUGGUAAAAUCGGGUAGCUUAACUAUCUAUAUGCUAGGAAUACUACUAUACUAGAGGGCGGGAGAGGUCUGAGGUACUACAGGGGUAGGGGUGAAAUCUUAUAAUCCUUGUUGGACCACCAGUGGCGAAGGCGUCAGACUGGAACGCGCCUGACGGUGAGGGACGAAAGCCAGGGGAGCGAACCGGAUUAGAUACCCGGGUAGUCCUGGCCGUAAACGAUGCAUACUAGGUGAUGGCACGGCCAUGAGCCGUGUC